ACCCAAACGCAGGAGGUCUCUACUGCACCUGCGCGGCUCGCCGGCGCUACGAAUCUCGGCGCGCUCACUUCCGACGGCUUCCCAUGGCUCCUCCCUUCAGCCUGGGUUCCUCUGAGCAUCUAUGAAGCCUACACUUUCCG
rnacentral:lncRNA from 1 species